rnacentral:lncRNA from 1 species
GGUUCCAUACGAAUUAGGAUUUUGGUAUCAAAGCAUCGAUUCUAGGUUGUAUAUGGUAAACACAAGGUCUACAUACCAAGCAAUCGGUGAAUCUCCUUCCAUCUUGACAAGACACCAUUGACCACCACAGUCGAAGAUGAGUACUCAAGAGGAGAUCAGUUCGAUGAAUGUGAUGGCCGAGCAGAUUAAAAAGAUGGGAGAUCUGAUGACAGCC